rnacentral:rRNA from 1 species
GUUGACCUCGGAUCAGGUAGGGAUACCCGCUGAACUUAAGCAUAUCAAUAAGCGGAGGAAAAGAAACCAACCGGGAUUGCCUCAGUAACGGCGAGUGAAGCGGCAAGAGCUCAAAUUUGAAAGCUGGCCCCUUCGGGGUCCGCGUUGUAAUUUGCAGAGGAUGCUUCGGGUGCGGCCCCUGUCUAAGUGCCCUGGAACGGGCCGUCAGAGAGGGUGAGAAUCCCGUCUUGGGCAGGGUGCCCGUGCCCGUGUGAAGCUCCUUCGACGAGUCGAGUUGUUUGGGAAUGCAGCUCUAAAUGGGUGGUAAAUUUCAUCUAAAGCUAAAUACCGGCCGGAGACCGAUAGCGCACAAGUAGAGUGAUCGAAAGAUGAAAAGCACUUUGAAAAGAGAGUUAAACAGCACGUGAAAUUGUUGAAAGGGAAGCGCUUGCGACCAGACUCGGCCCCGGGGUUCAGCCAGCACUCGUGCUGGUGUACUUCCCCGGGGGCGGGCCAGCGUCGGUUUGGGCGGCCGGUCAAAGGCCCCAGGAAUGUAUCGCCCUCCGGGGUUGUCUUAUAGCCUGGGGUGCAAUGCGGCCAGCCCGGACCGAGGAACGCGCU